rnacentral:rRNA from 1 species
UAGGGAAUAUUGGUCAAUGGGGGCAACCCUGAACCAGCCAUGCCGCGUGCAGGAAGACGGCCUUCUGGGUUGUAAACUGCUUUUAUAUAGGAAGAAAAUAUCCAUGCGUGGAUACUAUGACGGUACUAUAAGAAUAAGCACCGGCUAACUCCGUGCCAGCAGCCGCGGUAAUACGGAGGGUGCAAGCGUUGUCCGGAAUUAUUGGGUUUAAAGGGUGCGUAGGCGGUUGAUUAAGUCAGAGCUGAAAUCCCACAGCUUAACUGUGGAACUGGCUUUGAUACUGGUCAACUUGAGUACACUAGAGGUAUGCGGAAUUUAUGAUGUAGCGGUGAAAUGCAUAGAUAUCAUAAAGAACACCGAUAGCGAAGGCAGCAUACUUGGGUGUAACUGACGCUGAGGCACGAAAGCAUGGGGAGCGAACAGGAUUAGAUACCCCCGUAGUCC